UUAAGCCCUUAUUUAAAAGUAUGAUUCUAUUUCUUUUUCUUUAAAUAAUCAAAUAUCAUAUUGUAUACACUCUUUUUCUAAAAAGACAUGUAUAUAAAAUACCACGUAUACUAGUUAUCUAUAUUAGUAGUUGUUGUGUUACCCUAUGAUGAUGCUUCUAUCUUUACAAGAAUGUGAUCAAGUAUGACUUAGCAUAUCUAGCUUUAUUGGAGCCUCAA
rnacentral:lncRNA from 1 species